rnacentral:rRNA from 1 species
UACGUAGGGUGCAAGCGUUAAUCGGAAUUACUGGGCGUAAAGCGUGCGCAGGCGGUUUUGUAAGUCUGUCGUGAAAUCCCCGGGCUCAACCUGGGAAUUGCGAUGGAGACUGCAAGGCUAGAAUCUGGCAGAGGGGGGUAGAAUUCCACGUGUAGCAGUGAAAUGCGUAGAGAUGUGGAGGAACACCGAUGGCGAAGGCAGCCCCCUGGGUCAAGAUUGACGCUCAUGCACGAAAGCGUGGGGAGCAAACGAGGAUUACGAAACCCCGUGUA